rnacentral:ncRNA from 1 species
GCAGAGUAGAAUUGUGCGCGUUAAGUGCCCAGUGAACAGGGAGUUGUCAUUGGGACGAAGAGUGAAAUUAUCUUGCGGUGCAUGGUUCGCAUCCCGCUGC